rnacentral:rRNA from 1 species
GCUAACUACGUGCCAGCAGCCGCGGUCAUACGUAGGGUCCAAGCAUUAUCCGGAUUGACUGGGUGUAAAGAGUUGCGUAGGUGGAUAGUUAAGUAGGUAGUGAAAUCUGGUGGCUCAACCAUUCAGACUAUUACGUAAACUGAUUGUCUCGAGAGCGUUAGGGGUAGCUGGAAUUUCUAGUGUAGGAGUGAAAUCCGUAGAUAUUAGAAAGAACACCGAUAGCGUAGGCAGGCUACUGGGACGUUUCUGACACUAAGGCACGAAAGCGUAGGGAGCAAACGGGAUUAGAUACCCCGGUAGUCUACGCUGUAAACGAUGGAUACUAGCAGUUUUGGGUAUCGACCCCCGGAGUUGCGAAGCUAACGCGUUAAGUAUCCCACCUGUGUAGUACGAUCGCAAGAUUAAAACAUAAAGGAAUUGACGGGGACCCGCACAAGCGGUGGAGCGUGAUCUUUAAUUCGAUGGUAAACGAUAAACCUUACCAAGGCUUGACAUCCGAGGAAGGCCUCCGAAAGGAGACUGUGCCUUCGGGAACCUCGAGACAGGUGAUGCAUGGCCGUCGUCAGCUCGUGUCGUGAGAUGUUUGGUUAAGUCCAUCAACGAGCGCAACCCUUGCAACCAGUUGGAUUUUUCUGGUAGGACUGCCCCGGUAACGGGGAGGAAGGAGGGGAUGAUGUCAGGUCAGUAUUUCCCUUACGCCUUGGGCUAGAAUCGCGCUACAAUGGCCGGUACAAUGCGAAGCGAAGCAGUGAUGUGAAGCAAAUCGCACCAAAGCCGGUCCCAGUUCGGACUGGAGGCUGAAACUCGCCUCCACGAAGUCGGAAUCGCUAGUAAUCGCAGAUCAGCAUGUUGCGGUGAAUACGUUCCCGGGUCUUGCACACACCGCCGU